GCGCCUUGGCUGCUCGGCUCCGGCCUCCGGCGGCCCCGUCCCCGACUCCCCGGCGCCGCGGCGCACCCCAUCCCCGGCAGCACUGCUACAUCCUCCAGGCCCCGCAUCGCCUAUUCGCCUCGGGCCCUCGCCCCUCGGCUCCCACAGGCCGCAGCUCGCACAGUCGCAGGGCGCAGCGGCGCAGCCACUGGCUCCAAGCCGGCCACGCCCGGUGCGGAGGCGCCCAAUCCUAGUCAAAUCUCGACCCAGAUUCUUGGAUUUGUGAAGUAUGAAGAGGGAUGGAGACAUUGCUUCUAUGUUCCGAAAGCAUGCUGCAAAAAAAACGUGCAUCAGUUUCAUCUCCUGUGGUGGAAGAGCAAAAUCAAGAGCAAGAGCAUGAGAGAGUAAUUGAAGAAGUUGUUGGUCCUACUCCUACACCACCUCCAUCUGUAGAACCAGUUGAGGAUACAACACAUAAGGCGGAUUGGAUACAAAUUCAUUUUAUGGUUGGAGCAUUUGAGUCCUUUGAUUUUGUGUUCAGUUUACACUUAAUGUUUGUUAUUCUUGGAUGUACAAAUGAAUUAUCUGAGUGUUUGCAAAGAAGAGAACAAGAUAUUAUUCAUGCAAUCCAACUUGUUGGUGUGGCAAAAAAUAGAAUGCAACAUUUGAGGUCUGAAGGAUGGAAUCAAUUCCUUCAAAAGGUCACUUUGUUUUGCAACAAGCAUGGUGUCGAAGUUCCUACUAUGGAGGGUAAUUAUGUGACUUUUGGAAGAUCACGACGGUUUGUCCAAAAUCAAACAAAUGAUGAUCAUUUCAGAAGAGAGGUAUACAUUGGGGUCAUUGAUAAAAUUAGUUAAGAGCUUGAUAGUCGGUUUGAUGAGGUUAAUAUGGAGUUGCUUUCUUGUAUGUCUGCCCUCAACCCUUCUAAUUCAUUUGCAUCAUUUGAUGCACAAAAGGUACGCCGACUUGCUGAAUUCUACCCCAAAGACAUUUUUGGCUCUGAUUUGGUUAGUCUAGAAUUGCAACUUGAUACUUAUAUUGAUGUCAUGAGACAUGAUGAUAGAUUUAGUGGUCUGGAAAACCUUGUUGAUCUCUCGGUUAAGCUAGUGGAAACAAAUAGGCACAAUGUUUAUGAUUUGGUUUACUUGCUUCUCAAAAUGGUAUUCUUCUACCGGUGGCGACGGCAAGUGUUGAGAGGGCAUUUUCUGGUAUGGAUUUUGUCAAAACCAAACGAAGAAAUAAAAUGAGUGAUACUCUCUUGGAUGAUUGUUCACGUUCAUGGAAAGAGAUAUUUUGAAAGAUGUGGAUGAAGAUGAUGUAAUCAAGACUUUCAUGGCCAUUAGAAACCGUAGGCCUAAAAAAAAUAAAAUAGUGUUGUAAUCCUAUUUAAGCUUGUAUCGUUUAUAUUCCAAACUAUUAGUGUGUUGUUUUAAACUAUUUGGAUUGUAAUUUAAGACUUAUUAUGCUAUUUUGUAGUUGUGUACAAAAUUGCUAGGUAGUUUUAAUGAAAUUUUACCAAAUGUCUAAAUGAAUUUUA